UACGUAGGGUGCAAGCGUUGUCCGGAAUUAUUGGGCGUAAAGAGCUCGUAGGCGGUUCGUCGCGUCGGCUGUGAAAUCCCGGAGCUCAACUCCGGGUCUGCAGUCCGAUACGGGCGGACUUGAGUACUGCAGGGGAGACUGGAAUUCCUGGUGUAGCGGUGAAAUGCGCAGAUAUCAGGAGGAACACCGGUGGCGAAGGCGGGUCUCUGGGCCAGUAACUGACGCUGAGGAGCGAAAGCGUGGGGAGCGAACAGG
rnacentral:rRNA from 1 species